GGACGCACCGCAUAGCAUGCACGCGUGUCCUCCCACCCACCGUCCUCAUUUUUCUCAUUCUUAUCCAUUCACGCGGUGUGCGCCAAUCUCCCAUCUUCCACCUCCUCCCACUCCCAACCUCACACCACACCUCACCGGAGAUGGCAACCGUCUACCCCGCAAUAAAAUCUCCCUCGCAUGCCGCUGCAAGAAGACAGUGUUGCUCUCCCCUAUUGUCGGUUCAGUGGGAACCAGGGUACCACGGGCCAUCUGCCUACGACCCAGGAAGCAACCCCUGGCCCAACUCAAGAAACGGCUCAGCAGUGGGCGCCGCGGGGCAAGAUGCCUCGCGAGGAGCUCGCCUCACGAAGACCCUCUUGACGGAGGAGGACUUCACUAAGGACCACCACCAUCUGCGGCCAUUAUCCUCGCGAGGUGCCCUCCCACUCGAAGGGCCCGCGUGGCGCAGGUCACAUGGUUGCGUGCCCACCACGUGGAUGACGUCACUGCGGCAGGUGACUGAAGGAAAUAUGCCCUAGAGGCAAUAAUAAAGUUAUUAUUUAUUUCCUUAUAUCAUGAUAAAUGUUUAUUAUUCAUGCUAGAAUUGUAUUAACCGGAAACAUAAUACAUGUGUGAAUACAUAGACAAACAUAGUGUCACUAGUAUGCCUCUACUUCACUAGCUCGUUGAAUCAAAGAUGGUUAAGUUUCCUAGCCAUAGACAUGAGUUGUCAUUUGAUUAACGGGAUCACAUCAUUAGGAGAAUGAUGUGAUUGACUUGACCCAUUCCGUUAGCCUAGCACUUGAUCGUUUAGUAUAUUGC
rnacentral:rRNA from 1 species